rnacentral:rRNA from 1 species
AGAGUUUGAUCCUGGCUCAGAUUGAACGCCUGCGGCAUGCCUUACACAUGCAAGUCGAACGGCAGCACGGGAGCUUGCUCCUGGUGGCGAGUGGCGAACGGGUGAGUAAUAUAUCGGAACGUACCCUAGAGUGGGGGAUAACGCAGCGAAAGUUGCGCUAAUACCGCAUACGAUCUACGGAUGAAAGUGGGGGAUCGCAAGACCUCAUGCUCAUGGAGCGGCCGAUAUCUGAUUAGCUAGUUGGUGGGGUAAAGGCCUACCAAGGCAUCGAUCAGUAGCUGGUCUGAGAGGACGACCAGCCACACUGGAACUGAGACACGGUCCAGACUCCUACGGGAGGCAGCAGUGGGGAAUUUUGGACAAUGGGGGCAACCCUGAUCCAGCAAUGCCGCGUGAGUGAAGAAGGCCUUCGGGUUGUAAAGCUCUUUUGUCAGGGAAGAAACGGUGAGGGCUAAUAUCCUUUGCUAAUGACGGUACCUGAAGAAUAAGCACCGGCUAACCACGUGCCAGCAGCCGCGGUAAUACGUAGGGUGCAAGCGUUAAUCGGAAUUACUGGGCGUAAAGCGUGCGCAGGCGGUUAUGUAAGUCAGAUGUGAAAUCCCCGGGCUCAACCUGGGAAUGGCAUUUGAGACUGCAUGGCUAGAGUGUGUCAGAGGGGGGUAGAAGUCCACGUGUAGCAGUGAAAUGCGUAGAGAUGUGGAGGAAUACCGAUGGCGAAGGCAGCCCCCUGGGAUAACACUGACGCUCAUGCACGAAAGCGUGGGGAGCAAACAGGCUUAGAUACCCUGGUAGUCCACGCCCUAAACGAUGUCUACUAGUUGUCGGGACUUAAUUGUCUUGGUAACGCAGCUAACGCGUGAAGUAGACCGCCUGGGGAGUACGGUCGCAAGAUUAAAACUCAAAGGAAUUGACGGGGACCCGCACAAGCGGUGGAUGAUGUGGAUUAAUUCGAUGCAACGCGAAAAACCUUACCUACCCUUGACAUGUACGGAACCUCUGAGAGAUUAGAGGGUGCUCGAAAGAGAGCCGUAACACAGGUGCUGCAUGGCUGUCGUCAGCUCGUGUCGUGAGAUGUUGGGUUAAGUCCCGCAACGAGCGCAACCCUUGUCAUUAGUUGCUACGAAAGGGCACUCUAAUGAGACUGCCGGUGACAAACCGGAGGAAGGUGGGGAUGACGUCAAGUCCUCAUGGCCCUUAUGGGUAGGGCUUCACACGUCAUACAAUGGUACAUACAGAGGGCCGCCAACCCGCGAGGGGGAGCUAAUCCCAGAAAGUGUAUCGUAGUCCGGAUUGUAGUCUGCAACUCGACUACAUGAAGUUGGAAUCGCUAGUAAUCGCGGAUCAGCAUGUCGCGGUGAAUACGUUCCCGGGUCUUGUACACACCCCCCGUCA